AGCGCACACGGUGGAUGCCUUGGCGGUCAGAGGCGAUGAAGGACGUGGCAGCCUGCGAAAAGUAUCGGGGAGCUGGCAACAAGCUUUGAUCCGGUAAUGUCCGAAUGGGGAAACCCACCCGCUUGCGGGUAUCCUGCAGUGAAUACAUAGCUGCUGGAAGCGAACCUGGUGAACUGAAAUAUCUAAGUAACCAGAGGAAAAGAAAUCAACCGAGAUUCCGUAAGUAGCGACGAGCGAACGCGGACUAGCCCUUAAGCUGAUUUGGUUCUAGGAAAACGCUCUGGAAAGAGCGGCCAUAGAAGGUGAUAGCCCUGUAUCUGAAAGGGCCAUUUCAGUGAAGACGAGUAGGGCGGGGCACGUGAAACCCUGUCUGAACAUGGGGGGACCAUCCUCCAAGGCUAAAUACUACUGACCGACCGAUAGUGAACCAGUACCGUGAGGGAAAGGCGAAAAGAACCCCGGAGAGGGGAGUGAAAUAGAACCUGAAACCGUGUGCGUACAAGCAGUAGGAGCUCCGCAAGGAGUGACUGCGUACCUUUUGUAUAAUGGGUCAGCGACUUACUGUUCGUGGCAAGCUUAACCGUAUAGGGGAGGCGAAGGGAAACCGAGUCUGAUAAGGGCGCAUAGUCGCGGGCAGUAGACCCGAAACCGGGUGAUCUAGUCAUGCCCAGGGUGAAGGUGCGGUAACACGCACUGGAGGCCCGAACCCACUCCCGUUGCAAAGGUAGGGGAUGAGGUGUGAUUAGGAGUGAAAAGCUAAUCGAACCCGGAGAUAGCUGGUUCUCCUCGAAAGCUAUUUAGGUAGCGCCUCAUAUGUAUCCUCUCGGGGGUAGAGCACUGUUAUGGCUAGGGGGUCAUCGCGACUUACCAAACCAUUGCAAACUCCGAAUACCGAGACGGACUGUAUGGGAGACACACGGCGGGUGCUAACGUCCGUCGUGAAAAGGGAAACAACCCAGACCCACAGCUAAGGUCCCAAAUUUUGUGCUAAGUGGAAAACCAUGUGGAAAGGCACAGACAGCCAGGAGGUUGGCUUAGAAGCAGCCACCCUUUAAAGAAAGCGUAAUAGCUCACUGGUCGAGUCGGUCUGCGGGGAAGAUUUAACGGGGCUAAGCACAGAACCGAAGCUUGGGGUGCAUAACUUUGUUAUGCGCGGUAGAGGAGCGUUCCGUAAGCCGUUGAAGGUGGAUUGAGAAGUCUGCUGGAGGUAUCGGAAGUGCGAAUGCUGACAUGAGUAACGAUAAUGCGGGUGAAAAACCCGCACGCCGAAAGCCCAAGGUUUCCUUGCGCAACGUUAAUCGGCGCAGGGUGAGUCGGCCCCUAAGGCGAGGACGAAAGUCGUAGUCGAUGGGAAGCAGGUUAAUAUUCCUGCACCUCGCGUAAGUGCGAUGGAGGGACGGAGAAGGUUAGGUGUACCAGGCGUUGGUUGUCCUGGGGAAAGGCGGUAGGUUUGGAUCUUUGGCAAAUCCGGGAUCCUUUAAGACCGAGCACCGAGACGAGCCUUUAUGGCAAAGUCACUGAUACCACGCUUCCAGGAAAAGCUCCUAAGCUUCAGCUUACGCAGACCGUACCGUAAACCGACACAGGUGGGUAGGAUGAGAAUUCUCAGGCGCUUGAGAGAACUCGGGUGAAGGAACUAGGCAACAUGGCACCGUAACUUCGGGAGAAGGUGCACCCUUUUUGGUGGCUCGUGCGAGCUAUAGCUGAAGAGGGUCGCAGUAACCAGGCCGCUGCGACUGUUUAUCAAAAACACAGCACUCUGCAAACACGAAAGUGGACGUAUAGGGUGUGACGCCUGCCCGGUGCUGGAAGGUUAAUUGAUGGGGUCAGCCGCAAGGCGAAGCUCUUGAUCGAAGCCCCAGUAAACGGCGGCCGUAACUAUAACGGUCCUAAGGUAGCGAAAUUCCUUGUCGGGUAAGUUCCGACCUGCACGAAUGGCGUAACGACAGCGGCGCUGUCUCCACCCGAGACUCAGUGAAAUUGAAAUCGCUGUGAAGAUGCAGCGUUCCCGUGGCAAGACGGAAAGACCCCGUGAACCUUUACUAUAGCUUUACACUGAACGUUGAGUUCGUCUGUGUAGGAUAGGUGGGAGGCUAUGAAACCAUGGCGCUAGCUGUGGUGGAGCCAUCCUUGAAAUACCACCCUGUCGUGCUUGACGUUCUAACCUGGGCCCAUUAUCUGGGUCGGGGACCGUGUAUGGUGGGUAGUUUGACUGGGGCGGUCUCCUCCUAAAGAGUAACGGAGGAGCUCGAAGGUACGCUCAGCGCGGUCGGACAUCGCGCACUGUGUGCAAAGGCAUAAGCGUGCUUGACUGCAAGAUCGACGGAUCAAGCAGGUAGGAAACUAGGACUUAGUGAUCCGGUGGUUCUGUAUGGAAGGGCCAUCGCUCAACGGAUAAAAGGUACUCCGGGGAUAACAGGCUGAUACCGCCCAAGAGUUCAUAUCGACGGCGGUGUUUGGCACCUCGAUGUCGGCUCAUCACAUCCUGGGGCUGUAGUCGGUCCCAAGGGUAUGGCUGUUCGCCAUUUAAAGUGGUACGCGAGCUGGGUUCAGAACGUCGUGAGACAGUUCGGUCCCUAUCUGCCAUGGGCGUUGGAGAUUUGAGAGGGGCUGCUCCUAGUACGAGAGGACCGGAGUGGACGAACCUCUGGUGUUCCGGUUGUCACGCCAGUGGCAUUGCCGGGUAGCUAUGUUCGGAAGCGAUAACCGCUGAAAGCAUCUAAGCGGGAAGCGCGCCUCAAGAUGAGAUCUCCCGGGGCACAAGCCCCCUGAAGGAACCAUGUAGACUACGUGGUUGAUAGGUCAGGUGUGUAAGUACAGCAAUGUAUUGAGCUAACUGAUACUAAUGAUCCGUGCGGCUUGACC
rnacentral:rRNA from 1 species